rnacentral:rRNA from 1 species
CGGGUGAGCAACACGUAUCCAACCUGCCGUCUACUCUUGGACAGCCUUCUGAAAGGAAGAUUAAUACAAGAUGGCAUCAUGAGUCCACAUGUUCACAUGAUUAAAGGUAUUCCGGUAGACGAUGGGGAUGCGUUCCAUUAGAUAGUAGGCGGGGUAACGGCCCACCUAGUCUUCGAUGGAUAGGGGUUCUGAGAGGAAGGUCCCCCACAUUGGAACUGAGACACGGUCCAA